rnacentral:rRNA from 1 species
UACGUAGGUGACAAGCGUUGCUCGGAAUUACUGGGCGUAAAGGGCGCGUAGGCGGGAUGGCAAGUCGGUCGUGAAAUCCCUCGGCUCAACUGAGGAUCGUCGAUCGAUACUGCCGUUCUUGAGGAUUGCAGAGGAGACUGGAAUUCCCGGUGUAGCGGUGAAAUGCGUAGAUAUCGUAAGGAAGACCAGUGGCGAAGGCGGGUCUCUGGACAGUUCCUGACGCUGAGGGCACGAAGGUCAGGGGAGCAAACGGGG